UCCCUGGUGGUCUAAUGGCUAAGACUCCAUGCUUCCCACGCAGGGGGCCUGGGUUCUAUCCCAGGUCAGGGAA
rnacentral:tRNA from 1 species